UACGGAAGGUGCGAGCGUUAAUCGGAAUUACUGGGCGUAAAGCGCACGUAGGUGGUUUUAUAAGUCGGAUGUGAAAGCCCCGGGCUUAACCUGGGAAUUGCAUCUGAUACUGUCUGACUAGAGUAUGCUAGAGGGAAGUGGAAUUCCAGGUGUAGCGGUGAAAUGCGUAGAUAUCUGGAGGAACACCGGUGGCGAAGGCGGCAUCCUGGACCGGCAUUGACGCUGAGGCGCGAAAGCUAGGGGAGCAAACGGG
rnacentral:rRNA from 1 species